GGGGGGAUGGCUCAGUGGUUAAGAGCACUUGCUCCCCUUCCAGGAGACUUGGGUUAGAUUCCCAGCCCUCACA
rnacentral:tRNA from 1 species